rnacentral:rRNA from 1 species
AGCGAACGCUGGCGGCAGGCCUAACACAUGCAAGUCGAACGAACCUUUCGGGGUUAGUGGCGGACGGGUGAGUAACACGUGGGAACGUGCCUUUAGGUUCGGAAUAACUCAGGGAAACUUGUGCUAAUACCGAAUGUGCCCUUCGGGGGAAAGAUUAAUCGCCUUUAGAGCGGCCCGCGUCUGAUUAGCUAGUUGGUUGAGGUAAUGGCUCACCAAGGCGACGAUCAGUAGCUGGUCUGAGAGGAUGAUCGGCCACAUUGAGACUGAGACACGGCCCAAACUCCUACGGGAGGCAGCAGUGGGGAAUCUUACGCAAUGGGCGAAAGCCUGACGCAGCCAUGCCGCGUGAAUGAUGAAGGUCUUAGGAUUGUAAAAUUCUUUCGCCGGGGACGAUAAUGACGGUACCCGGAGAAGAAGCCCCGGCUAACUUCGUG